UCUUGCUGCCAAAUCCCAGAAACCUGAAGCUAGGCGGAAAGGGGCGGGGGAUUCUUAAAGAGACAGUCACUUCCUACACAAAAACUGGGGAAAAAAUGAGAGCACCUCUACCUGAUUUGGUUGUGGUCUGAUUUACACUGUGUCGUUCGAAUUCCUCUUUCCAGAAGUCGGAGUGACUGUUCAAGUUACCUCCCGGGCUUACAUGCUUCAUGCGAUGUCACUGACGGUCUGGUAUCCCAACACCAGAGGUGAGUGAAAAGAUUCCCUCAGCAGAGGCACCUGCAGGAUGUGCAACGAUUCAUUUUUACUCCGACUAUUGGUUCUGUGGAAGCAUCGACUCUACUGGCUCAUCAUUUACAUUCACAAUGGACAUCUGGAGCCAGCAAAAGGAAACAUUAGACUUGUUUGUGUUGUCAAAUUAAAAAGGGAAAAGAGAAUGGUUUAAAGUUCUGAGAGUCUCCGUAACAUUUAAUUAUGCUUUUGACGGCAGUCCAAUCAAAAAUAUGCUUUUGCAGGAAAACGGGCACUAAGAAAAAAGCCUGCUUUGCUAUUCAGAUUGUUGCUAGGUCAACCUCUCAAUUCCUCAGCUUACAGAAGAGCAGCCAUGACAUGAUUAUAGGGUCUUUCCUCUGAGGAAGCUGAAGAGCUUCACCAUAGUUCUCAAACAGUUUAUUUCCUCCACAUUCCCAUUAGAUGUUAUUAUCCCUCUCGCCUGGAUGAGGAACCA